GCAGUGGCGCACGGGUGAGUAACGCGUGGGAAUCUACCCUGAGGUUCGGAAUAACGGUUGGAAACGACCGCUAAUACCGGAUGUGCCCUAUGGGGCAAAGGCUUGCCGCCUUGGGAGGAGCCCGCGUCCGAUUAGCUAGUUGGUGAGGUAAUGGCUCACCAAGGCAGUGAUCGGUAGCUGGUCUGAGAGGAUGAUCAGCCACACUGGGACUGAGACACGGCCCAGACUCC
rnacentral:rRNA from 1 species